GCUGCGAUAUCCUAAUUCGGUAAGGAACCUCCCCGCUAAGGAGGCGGUGCCUCACGGCCCAUGGGCGUUCGAAUCGCUCUCGCAGCGCCA
rnacentral:tRNA from 1 species